AAAAAAGUUGGCAACUGCCCCGAAGAGAAGGAAGGAGGAAGUUAGUCACCCAUAAUUCCUGCACAGAGGCUUAGCUCCUGGCCAGUUGUCCCAUUGCUACCACCAGCAAGCAAGGUGGCUCCGCUUUUUCCUGGGCUGAAGUGGAUCUUUGCUCAACCCUCUUCUUGAAGGAGCUGGCCUUGACAGUGACUCUAAUCGGCAGCCGCCCAGAGUCUGAGCAUCCCGCUGAGCCCAGUAACUCCCAACCUGGCUGUGCCUGCACCAGAGGACUGCUCU